GCUACACCCACAACAGGAGCUGCCAUUCCUUUGUAUAAACCAAGAAUUCCCUGGAAAGAAAAGUCCAAUUUAACCAUUCUUAAGGUUUCAUUCCAACCCUAGUCAAGGAUCUCAGCAGGGACUUUUGAAAGGGGUUCAAAGUUAUGAAUUUGUCUACCCCUUCCAAGAGGUGGUGUGUACCACUGCUCUACCUUGGGUACCAGCUGGCUCAAUUAUUCAUGUGGGGAUAAGGACCAACAAGAAGAGGAAAAACAAACAGAAAAUUCCCAUAGCGGCAGUGUAGAUCAAAGUGCAAUUUAUAUCGAUUACAACUUUGUGAUUAUACAGUAUCUUAAAAAUCUUGAGAGUUUUAUCUGCAUAACCCACCAGAUAUCAAACCCAACAUUCUCUUUCCUGUUGGCCAGAUUUAUCAGUUGAUUGAUAAUUUUGUUGAUGAGUUUUGACUGUAAAAUUAUGGUAUAGUUACAGACAAGCUUCCUCGUUUCCAGUGGUAACCAAAACUUGAGAAUUGUGCAUUCCCAACCGUUAAAUGUAAAAGCCUGCUAAAAACAGUCAAAUGGCUUGUUGCCACUGGAACGGAGCCAGCUGCCUGUGACAACAACAAAACU